GACCUGGCACCUGCCACCUGCACGGGCAGGAAGCCACAAUGACUGGCAACUCUGUGGUUGUAUGCAACAUAAGGAUAUCUUCAGCGAGCACUCAUAUUUUAAGAGGCAUUGUGUAAACUGGAAACUCAAGGAACCCCUGUGACUCUCAUCAGUGUGGAGUGCACCCUCCCACGAGACAGGAGCUUUCUCUGUAGAAUCAGCUUGUAGGAGACUUUAAUGUGAUCCCCAAUGUUACUCACCAGAAAACAGGCUUGUGGGACAAAUCUGUUGAAUGCACCAACUUCCUUAAUCAGUUAUAUUUUAAGGCACAUAUGAGAAUCCAUAAUGGAAAAAAAUUCUUUGAAUUGACUCAAUUUUCAGGAGAUUUUACAUGUUCUACAAGGGGAGUUCUGCCUAUCAAAUGUACACCAUAAAAGCCUUUGAAUGUAAAAUUUGUGGGAAAGUCUCUGGGUAUUCUUUAAGUCUUAAUAGUCACCUGCAAACCCACACUGGGGAGAAACAUUAUGAAUGUAAAAUAUGUAAAAAAUUCUUCACUACUUCUUCAAGUCUAACUGAACACUUCAAACUAGAGAGAAACCCUAUAAAUGUAAGGAAUAUGGAAACACUUUUACUAAGCACUCAGGACUUUCUUCACGUGUAUAAACACAUUCGGGAAAGAAGUCUUGUGUAUGCAAGUUAUGUGGGAGAUCCUUCAUGAUUCCUUCAAAUAUGACUGAGCAUUUCAGAAUUCAUACUGGAGAGAAACCCUACCAAAGUAAAGAAUGUGGGAAAGCCAUCCAUGCAUCUUCAUAAGCAUCUAAGAACACAUACCAGAGAAACCCUAUAAAUGUGAGAAGCGUGGGAAAGCCUUCCAUACCUCCUCCUACCUACGGAAACAUGUAAGAACUCACAGUGCAGAGAAACCUUAUGAAUGUAGGGAAUGUGGCAAAGCCUACAAAAGGUGUUAUCUAUUGCAUGAACAUUUAAAAACUCACAUGGUAGAGAAACCCUUUGGUUGCAAGGUAUGUUGGAAAGUCUUUUGAACGUUCUGCAUGCUGUAAUAAGCACAUUCAUCCUCACAGCGGAUGAAUACUUACUUAUAAAUGUAAGUACUGUGGCAAAGACUUCACUGUCUCCUCAAGUCUAAUUGGACAAACAAGAGCACACUGGAGAGAGGCCCUAUAAAUGUAAAGAACGUGGGAAAGCCUCUACCUCAGCCUCAUGUCUGAUUGUUCAUAAGAGAACUCACACUGGAGAGAAACCCUAUGAAUGUAAGGAGUGUGGGAAAGCUCACAAGAGGUGUUACCUACUGACUGGACAUAUAAAGACUCACAUGGGGGAAAAGCCUUUUGACUAUAAG
rnacentral:lncRNA from 1 species